rnacentral:rRNA from 1 species
UAUUAUGACCGUGCUAAGGUAGCAUAAUCAUUAGUCUUUUAAUUGAAGGCUGGAAUGAAUGGUUGGACAAGAAAUAAGCUGUCUUAAAUAAAAAUAUUGAACUUAACUUUUAAGUGAAAAGGCUUAAAUUUUCUAAAGGGACGAUAAGACCCUAUAAAACUUUAUAUUUAAAAAUAAUUGCUAUUAUUAUUUAAAGAGUUUAUUUUUAAAUAUUUUAUUGGGGUGAUAAGGAUAAAAUAUAAGACAACUGUCUUUUAUUUUAACAAUAAUUUUUGAGUAAAUGAUCUUAAUAAGGAAUAAAAGAUUAAGUUACUUUAGGGAUAACAGCGUAAUUUUCUUUGAGAGUUCUUAUCGACAAGAAAGUUUGCGACCUCGAUGUUGAAUUAAAAGUUCUUUAUAGAGUAGAGACUA